rnacentral:rRNA from 1 species
UACGAAGGGGGCUAGCGUUGCUCGGAAUUACUGGGCGUAAAGGGCGCGCAGGCGGCUCUGAAAGUCAGAUGUGAAAGCCCCGGGCUUAACCUGGGAACUGCAUUUGAUACUCUGGAGCUUGAGUACGGGAGAGGAUAGUGGAAUUCCCAGUGUAGAGGUGAAAUUCGUAGAUAUUGGGAAGAACACCGGUGGCGAAGGCGGGCUAC